CCUCCCGUCUGCCUUCCAUCUUUGAGGAAAGGUAUUUCCAUUGUCACUUCACUAUCUUGUCACUAUAAUAGACCAUAUUUCUUUUAACACUGAAGCCUCACACGUGAGGGGGACGCACACACGCUGCAUUUGAGUGGUAAGGCUGAAGCAAUCGACUGUAGACAUAAGCUGAGAAGUGAAGUCGGGGAGGUGCAUCUGCUACAGACGAAAGUCGGACACUGAUGUGGUUUUCCAACGGUUGCUGAGCCGCUGGUGAGAAACGGGGCAUCGGUCAAUGUAACUAAUUGAUUUCACCCCUCUCUUUGAGGCUGCAGCCAAGGGCAAUUAGCUCAAGAACUGUGAUGGUAACAUGUCUUUGGGCAUGGUGAAGGAGAGAGACAAGGGCAUCCUGGACAUGCUGGAAGGAGAUGCUGCCCUCCUGGAGCACUGGGAUGACAACAACGCUCAGGUCAAAGGAGGCCUCAUCUCCCUGCACAACGCAGACUCAUACGGGCACAUGCAUAUUUCAGUCCUCCUGAUCAACUUUCAUGCAGUGGCCCAGCACCAGUCAGUAUGUAGCCUGACACCACUGGAGGUGAACUGAUGAACAAUGGCCCAGCACCAGUCAGUAUGUAGCCUGACACCACUGGAGGUGAACUGAUGAACAAUGUCCCAGCACCAGUCAGUAUGUAGCCUGACACCACUGGAGGUGAACUGAUGAACAGUGGCCCAGCACCAGUCAGUAUGUAGCCUGACACCACUGGAGGUGAACUGAUGAACAGUGGCCCAGCACCAGUCAAUAUGUAGCCUGACACCACUGGAGGUGAACUGAUGAACAGUGGCCCAGCACCAGUCAGUAUGUAGCCUGACACCACUGGAGGUGAACUGAUGAACAGUGGCCCAGCACCAGUCAGUAAGUAGCCUGACACCACUGGAGGUGAACUGAUGAACAGUGGCCCAGCACCAGUCAGUAAGUAGCCUGACACCACUGGAGGUGAACUGAUGAACAGUGGCCCAGCACCAGUCAAUAUGUAGCCUGACACCACUGGAGGUGAACUGAUGAACAGUGGCCCAGCACCAGUCAGUAAGUAGCCUGACACCACUGGAGGUCUUGAUGGUACAGUAUUUGUGUAGAAUAAGAAAGAAAACCAGUAGGUGACCAGUAAAAUGCAGACAACUUUAGUGAACUAUUUAGACAUAACAUAUACACAAGAAUCCAGUAUAAGUAGGAGCAGAUCAGUCUAUAGUUUACAGCAACAUGAACAUGACCAUAUCCCUGUCCAACGGCAGUAGCUCAGACACCUCCAUCCCAACGCCGAUGUCCACGCACCCCAGAAAUCCCUCAUCCUCAUACCACUCCUCUUCCUCCUGCAUGUCCAGCUGAUGGACCUGAGCCCUAGGACCAUGCCUCAGGACUACCUGGCAUGAUGACUCCUUGCGGUCCCCAGUCC